UACAAUCAAUUUAGAUGUAAUUUGUAACGCCCCAGUCCAAAAUCCAAGGGUAAAAAUGUCCACAACUCACAUAUGUAUUUAAAUAACUCUUUACCACUGAUAAAAUUCGAGCCUCAAAUACAAAAGCUAGCGAAAUAACUUAAAAAUUUAGCCAAACCAUCUACCAUCCUUAAUUCAAAUCCAUCUUCUCACUCCUCACGAAUCAAUCCUGACUUCUGAAAACUGAAUCACAAUAAACUAUAAUGAGUACAAAACCCGGUAAGUAAACUAGUUUUUCUUAUACGGAAAUACAUACAUACCUAUACAUAAUGCAAUGGAUGACAUGACAUGAUCUUUGGAAAUACUGUAAAUACAUUCAUCAAAAUCUCUUUUUGUCGCUUUCAAAUUUUCUCAUUUUCUUUCAAUAAAAUAUGUAUCAUGCAAUGUGGCACUUAGUGCUGUGCGUGGCACUUUGCACCAUGCGUGGCACUUUGUGGCGCUCAGGCCUUCAAGAGGUGGCCCCCACACAACUUCAAGAGGUGACCCCCAAUGUAAAAUCUCAUAAAAUAGAAAUCUCAUUUGCUAAAAUCCACUUUCUCAUUCAUAGAAAACUCAAUGCAUUUUCAUGCUCAUGACAAUGAACCAUCACACAUACAUAUGCCUAUGUACAUAAUCACACGCCCAAUACAUAACAACACAUCACACGCCCAAUACAUAACAACACAUCACAUAAACACAUGGGCGGAGACAUAGAAAUCCAUAUUCAUACAUAUCAAAAUAGGCUUUUCACACAAGUCAAACAUAUAUAUUGUUUAUUAUGAUUCGUUUGGAAAUCUAGUUUACUUACCUCCUAGUAUUCUUGAGUAAUAAAUGCACAUCAAUACCAUCGGCCUCUUGAUCUUGAUUUCUCUAAACCUUUCUAAAUUAAGGAUUUCUUUACUCUUGUUAUUAUGACUUAGAAUGGAAGAGAAUAAAAU
rnacentral:lncRNA from 1 species